GCCUUCCCGGAAAUGCCGUAGCUCAGCGAGCAGCCCCCUCCGCCCCGGGAGGUAAUUUCAGUGCUGAAGAGUGGUGACCUAAAGAAAAUGGUGAAGUUGGCAGAAUGGCCUUCUCCUCCCCCGAUAGGGGGGAAAGCAAAAUCUUUGGAGUCCCAGCCCUGUCACUGACACGCUGAGUGGCCUCAGGCAAGUCACUCAACAUCUCUGAGCCUCAGUUUGCUCGACUAUGGAGAAUAAAACCUCAUAGUGUUGAGAAGAUGGACUCUGGAGACGUGUCCUCUGCACUGCUCUGGCGGUUGUGGUCUCAGCAAGUUGUUACCUGCCCGUGGACUGAAGGUUUGUUCCAAGAAGGCUCUAUGUCUAGUUGUACUCCCAAUAUCGCCUGCCAACUGUAUAAGUAAUGUCUGCGUAUAACUGUGUGUCUCCUUUCCAACUGUGCUGAAGCCCUGGUCCUUUUUCCACUAUGAAUUUCCCCAGUGGACGAAAGCCCCAAACAACCACUUCUCUCAGCUGCAGGAUUUCAACGAUUUCCAAAGGGGAAAAGGAGUCCUCAUGCUGCAGCAGGUUGGAAACCACAAGCCAGGCUGUCAAGGCAGCGUGUCAUUCCCCUUUGGCAGUCAGGAGUCAUGAGACCUGAGGUCAGGUUCCAGCCCCUCCCAUGACUGGUGGGAUGAUCUCCGGAGCAGCCCCGUGUGACUUGGAGAGCUUUGGUUUCCUCAUCCUAGAGCAGAGGUCAUGGAAAUUAUUUGGCAGGAUUGUCAAGAAGAUUAAAUGAGAUAAUGAAAGGGCUUUGAAAACUGUAACGUGUUACACAAAUGGAAGGAUUGGUGUUGUCAUCUUCUUGCACAUAUUGUUAGCAUCUUAAGGGCAGAGACAGUGUCGUCUGUUUUCUUCUUCACCUCCCACCCCCACCACCUCCUGUACUCAACACGGGACUAUGAAGAUGACCUUGUUAAAACACCGCACAGAGACUAGCACAGCGCCUGAGCACAUAGAAGAUGCUUUAUAAAUGGUUGCUAAUACGUACGCAUGUGCUAUUGUAUGGCUUCUGGUCCAAGUCUCCUCUGCCACUUGCUAGUGAGUGUGACCCUGGGCUAGGUUAGACUAACGUGCCCUCGUGUCCUCAUCUAUCACACAUGGCUGAUGAGAACAGGAGCUAGUUCAUGCCGUGGUUGGGAGAAGUGAAGGAGUUCCAUCUGCAGCACAGAACUACGCACAAAUCCAGCACUCCGUAGGCAUCUGCUGUUGUUAGUAUUUUACUACUAUCCACGGAGCGAUUCUUCAAGAGGGAGCCUGGGAAGAUCACCAGACUGGAAAGUAGGAAAUCUCGGUCCUGGCCUUUGUUCAGUCAGCAAGGCCUUCACAGACGGUGAGAUGCUCAGGCCGGCCUCUCAGGGUCAGCAUGAAGAAUGCAGCUGUGUCUAUGUGUGGGCGUCGUGUCUCCUGGUGUGGGCUGGAGCCCUAGACCAGACGUUGUUAGAUGAAAGGUGUGCAUACUUAACAUUUGGAUCAAUAUCGCAGCUGUCCGACAAGCUGCCGCUCCUGUUUGCAUUCUCUCCUGUCAGAUCGAGAGGGCCCGUUUCCCCAUACCCUGCCCCGCCCACAUUUUACCUUUACAUUUUAUUAAUUUUUGACAAGGCAAUAUUUGCAAAGGAUACAAAAUUUAAAAAGAUACAAAGGAGCAUACAGUGAGAAGUCUCCUCAUCCCUGACCCAGCCAUGGAAGUCCCUCCCCUCCCACUGCUGCCAGAAACACAAACUUUG